CCACAAUCUGGCAGGUGGAGAAUGGGGGGACAUGGAGGUGCUUCGCGAGCUGCACUUUAACUGUAAAAGAGCCUCAGUUUUGUACAAUCAAAACAAACAAAUUCCUGCGAAAGCGACACAAGUCAAUAGAUGGAAUUCUGGGUAAACAAUAUUAUAAUUCAUUUAAAUGAAGCUGGCCAGAGCUAACUUUUGCCUUCUGCCUUUAUAGAGGGAGCAGAGAAUUCCAUCCCUCUAAAUCUUCUGACCAUGAGUUUCACAUAUGGAGUCAGGGCUCCACAUCACAAUGAUUUUACCUCUCUGUUGUGAUGGCAAACUAUGAACCUUGUGAACAAGGUAGAAACAAGUGGCCAGGAUCUGAUAUGUUUCUCAAGUAAACUAGAAUAUUUCACACGAGUGGCAAUGCUGCUCUUUCCCCUGUUCCCAUGGCUUUCAGUGUCUGGGAGUAUGCACAAGAGUUAUUUCAGCCCAGGACCCAACUAUUCCACAUGCUUCUGAGGCCUGCAUAUGACUAGGGAACCUCAACUGCUGAAAAAGAGGAAGAAACCGAAAACAAAACAAAACAACAAAGAGAAAACAAGGUUUCCACUUUUGAAUUCCAAAUACAACCAAGUGUCAUGAAAGUUUAAUACCUUCAAAGUGUUUGCAUAGACCUGUAUUUAAAAUUCACUCUGAUGCAGAAACUACAGAACGUAAACCACCAAAAAAGAAAAUCGACCUUCUACUGGUGGCAUCUGACUCAGAUGAUGAAAAUGAACAUGCGUCAGCCCACCCUGCUUUGGAUCGUUAUCAAGCAGAACCCAUCAUCAGCAUUGACGCAUGUCCUCUGGAAUGGUGGUUGAAGCAUGAAGGGACAUAUGAACCUUUAGCGCAUCUGGCACAUAAAUAUCUUGCAACGCUGGUUACAACAGUGUCAUGUGAAUGCCUGUUCUCACUUUCAGGUGACACUGUAAACAAGAAGCCGGCAGCAUUAUCUCCUGCAAAUUGUAACCAGUCUUGUUUGUCUUAGCGAUUGGCUGAACAAGAAGUAGGACUGAGUGGACUUGUAGGCUCUAAAGUUUUACAUUGUUUUACUUUUGAAUGUGGAUUUUUUUGUACAUAAUUCUAUAUUUGUAAGUUCAACUUUCAUGAUAAAGAGAUUGCACUACAGUACUUGUAAGAGGUGAAUUGACAAAUAUGUUUUUUUGUUAUUAUAGUGCAAAUACUUGUAAUCAAAAGUAAAGAGAGCACUGUACACUUUGUAUUCUGUGUUGUAAUUGAAAUUUAUAUAUUUGAAAAUGUAGUAAA